GUUUGGAGAUGCGAAAGUUACCCUCAAGGACCCCACGGGUGCUGUUGAUGCUAGCAUCCACCGCAAGGCAUUUACUCACAGUGAAUUUGCGAAUGACAUAACUGUUGGAUCUGUUCUCGUUCUCCAAAAGGUUGCUGUGUUUGCACCUAGAGGAACUGUUUGUUAUCUUAAUAUAACAUUGCCCAACCUAGUGAAGGUAUUCCCAAAAGAUUGCGGACCCCAUGACUUCAUCGAUAUCACAGAGGAAUAAUUUUGUUUUCGGUGUU